rnacentral:siRNA from 1 species
UGCAAUCUUCAGGCCAGCUCGAGC